rnacentral:rRNA from 1 species
UACCUUAGUAACGGCGAGUGAAGCGGUAACAGCUCAAAUUUGAAAUCUGGGUCUUUUAGGCUCCGAGUUGUAAUUUGUAGAAGAUGCUUUGGGUGCGGCCCCGGUCUAAGUUCCUUGGAACAGGACGUCAUAGAGGGUGAGAAUCCCGUAUGUGAUCGGUGGCUUGCGCCCGUGUAAAGCUCUUUCGACGAGUCGGGUUGUUUGGGAAUGCAGCUCUAAAUGGGUGGUAAAUUUCAUCUAAAGCUAAAUAUUGGCCAGAGACCGAUAGCGCACAAGUAGAGUGAUCGAAAGAUGAAAAGCACUUUGGAAAGAGAGUUAAACAGUACGUGAAAUUGUUGAAAGGGAAGCGCUUGCAACCAGACUUGCGCGGGGUUGAUCAUCCGGGGUUCUCCCCGGUGCACUCGGCCUCGCUCAGGCCAGCAUCGGUUUUGGUGGUUGGAUAAAGGCCUUGGGAAUGUGACUUCUUUCGGGGAGUGUUAUAGCCCUCGGUGCAAUGCAGCCUACCGGGACCGAGGACCGCGCUUCGGCUAGGAUGCUGGCGUAAUGGUUGUAAGCGACCCGUCUUGAAACACGGACCAAGGAGUCUAACAUCUAUGCGAGUGUUUGGGUGUCAAACCCAUACGCGUAAUGAAAGUGAACGGAGGUGAGAACCCUUAAGGGUGCAUCAUCGACCGAUCCUGAUGUCUUCGGAUGGAUUUGAGUAAGAGCAUAGCUGUUGGGACCCGAAAGAUGGUGAACUAUGCCUGAAUAGGGUGAAGCCAGAGGAAACUCUGGUGGAGGCUCGCAGCGGUUCUGACGUGCAAAUCGAUCGUCAAAUUUGGGCAUAGGGGCGAAAGACUAAUCGA